CAGGUAGGUGUUCCGCCAAGUUAGAAGUGAAAUCCUAAGGCUCAACCUUAGAACUGCUUCUAAAACUGGCGGGAUUGAGGCUGGAAGAGGAGAGCGGAAUUCCCGGUGUAAGGGUGAAAUCUGUAGAUAUCGGGAGGAACACCAGUGGCGAAAGCGGCUCUCUGGUCUAGUUCUGACGCUGAGCUGCGAAAGCUAGGGGAGCAAACAGGAUUAGAUACCCUGGUAGUCCUAGCCGUAAACGAUGAGCACUAGGUGUUGGGGAGUAAUCCUCAGCGCCGUAAGAUAACUCGUUAAGUGCUCCACCUGGGGACUACGACCGCAAGGUUAAA
rnacentral:rRNA from 1 species